rnacentral:rRNA from 1 species
UACGUAGGGUGCAAGCGUUAAUCGGAAUUACUGGGCGUAAAGCGUGCGCAGGCGGCUUUGCAAGACAGAUGUGAAAUCCCCGGGCUCAACCUGGGAACUGCAUUUGUGACUGCAUGGCUAGAGUGCGGCAGAGGGGGAUGGAAUUCCGCGUGUAGCAGUGAAAUGCGUAGAGAUGUGGAGGAACACCGAUGGCGAAGGCAGCCCCCUGGGCUAACACUGACGCUCAUGCACGAAAGCGUGGGGAGCAAACAGG